rnacentral:rRNA from 1 species
AGUCGAGCGAUGAGAUCCCUUCGGGGAAGGAUUAGCGGCGAACGGGUGAGGAACACGUGAGGAAUCUGCCUUCAACACUGGGAUAACUCCGGGAAACCGGGGCUAAUACCGGAUACGAGACCUGCAGGCAUCUGCGGGUCUGGAAAGUUUUUCGGUUGAAGAUGACCUCGCGGCCUAUCAGCUUGUUGGUGAGGUAAUGGCUCACCAAGGCGACGACGGGUAGCCGGCCUGAGAGGGCGACCGGCCACACUGGGACUGAGACACGGCCCAGACUCCUACGGGAGGCAGCAGUGGGGAAUAUUGGGCAAUGGAGGGAACUCUGACCCAGCGACGCCGCGUGCGGGAUGAAGGCCUUCGGGUUGUAAACCGCUUUCAGCAAGGAAGAAGCGAAAGUGACGGUACUUGCUGAAGAAGCACCGGCUAACUAUGUGCCAGCAGCCGCCGCAAUACAUAGGGUGCAAGCGUUGUCCGGCAUUAUUGGGCGUACAGAGCUCGCACGUGGUUCGUCUCGUCCGACGUGAAAAUCUGGCGCUUAACUCCACCACCUGCCUCCAUUCGGUCCAGCUAGACUGUGGUUUGGGAGACUGGACUUCCAGUCCUGGCGUUGGCAUGCG